UUAAGAAAUAAUAAAUCAUUGAAAACAGUAGUUCCCAAGGAAUCACUAAAGUUAAACUAUGUUGUACAUGGUUGGUAUCAGGGAUGGGUGACCACCUGGUCAAUCAUAAGUUGCUGCCU
rnacentral:rRNA from 1 species